UGUUUAAGUCCUUAGGCACGUAGAAGGU
rnacentral:sRNA from 1 species